AAAUUGAAGAGUUUGAUCAUGGCUCAGAUUGAACGCUGGCGGCAGGCCUAACACAUGCAAGUCGAACGGUAACAGGAAACAGCUUGCUGUUUCGCUGACGAGUGGCGGACGGGUGAGUAAUGUCUGGGAAACUGCCUGAUGGAGGGGGAUAACUACUGGAAACGGUAGCUAAUACCGCAUAACGUCGCAAGACCAAAGAGGGGGACCUUCGGGCCUCUUGCCAUCGGAUGUGCCCAGAUGGGAUUAGCUUGUUGGUGGGGUAACGGCUCACCAAGGCGACGAUCCCUAGCUG
rnacentral:rRNA from 1 species